rnacentral:rRNA from 1 species
UACGAAGGGGGCGAGCGUUGUUCGGAAUUACUGGGCGUAAAGCGCACGUAGGCGGAUAUUUAAGUCAGGGGUGAAAUCCCAGAGCUCAACUCUGGAACUGCCUUUGAUACUGGGUAUCUUGAGUAUGGAAGAGGUAAGUGGAAUUGCGAGUGUAGAGGUGAAAUUCGUAGAUAUUCGCAGGAACACCAGUGGCGAAGGCGGCUUACUGGUCCAUAACUGACGCUGAGGUGCGAAAGCGUGGGGAGCAAACAGGAUUAGAUACCCCGGAGUAG